UACGGGGGGGGCAAGCGUUGUUCGGAAUUACGGGGCGUAAAGGGUUCGUAGGUGGCCGACUAAGUCAGACGUGAAAUCCCUCAGCUCAACUGGGGAACUGCGUCUGAGACUGGCCGGCUUGAGUGCAGGAGAGGAACGCGGAAUUCCAGGUGUAGCGGUGAAAUGCGUAGAUAUCUGGAGGAACACCGGUGGCGAAGGCGGCAUCCUGGACCAAUAUUGACGCUGAGGAGCGAAAGCCAGGGGAGCAAACGGG
rnacentral:rRNA from 1 species